rnacentral:rRNA from 1 species
UACAGAGGGUGCGAGCGUUAAUCGGAAUUACUGGGCGUAAAGCGUGCGUAGACGGCUAUCUAAGUCGGGUGUGAAAGCCCCGGGCUCAACCUGGGAAUUGCAUUCGAGACUGAAUAGCUAGGGUACGGUAGAGGGAAGUGGAAUUUCCGGUGUAGCGGUGAAAUGCGUAGAUAUCGGAAGGAACGCCGGUGGCGAAAGCGGCGCACUGGAUCUCCACUGACGCUGAGGCGCGAAAGCCAGGGGAGCAAACGGG